rnacentral:rRNA from 1 species
CCUCAGCCUGCUAAAUAGUGGGUAUAUUCGAAAGAAUGUAUUCGACUUCUUAGAGGGACAUUUCGGUUUUACCGGAAGGAAGUUUGAGGCAAUAACAGGUCUGUGAUGCCCUUAGAUGUUCUGGGCCGCACGCGCGCUACAAUGAUGAAUUCAACGAGUUUAUAACCUUGAUUGAAAAGUCUGGGUAAUCUUUUGAACUUUCAUCGUGAUGGGGCUAGACCCUUGCAAUUUUUGGUCUCCAACGAGGAAUUCCUAGUAAACGCAAGUCAUCAACUUGCAUUGAUUACGUCCCUGCCCUUUGUACACACCGCCCGUCGCACCUACCGAUUGAAUGGUCCGGUGAAAUCUUUGGACUACGGCUUUGUCUUGUUUAUUCAAGACGCUGCUGUGGGAAAUUGAUCAAACC